GACGAACCGUGCGAACGUUAUUCGGAAUCACUGGGCUUAAAGCGCGUGUAGGCGGGACGGCACGUCCGACGCUGAAAUCCCCCGGCUCAACCGGGGAACGGGCGCGGAUACGACCGUCCUGGAGGGGCGUAGGGGGACCUGGAACUUCCGGUGGAGCGGUGAAAUGCGUUGAGAUCGGAAGGAACGCCCGUGGCGAAAGCGAGGUCCUGGACGCUUACUGACGCUGAGACGCGAAAGCCAGGGGAGCGAACGGG
rnacentral:rRNA from 1 species